AUUCCGACAAACCCCCACCUGCCUCCUCCUCCGGUGCACCCCACCUCCAUUUGCCACGAUUCCCGUCCCCCGAUCCACCUUCUGCCCCGCCGGCACCGUCCUCCCCCGAUCCACCUUCUUUCCCCGCCGGCGCCGCCCUCCCCCGAUCCACCUUCUUUCCCCUCCGGUGCCGCUCCACCCGUAUCCGGCUUCUUCCCCUGCUGGCGCUGCAGUUGGCCGCACCCCCCAGAGUGAACUGCUCGUGCCGCCCCGCCACCCCUAACUUCCCCUGCUCGAUCUCGCAUCUUCUUAAGUGUACAGUUCGGCUCCCGGCGGGCUGAUGUUGCCCGGCAGUGCCGCCGUGCAGUACGCGCAUCGCAGCCAUGCGGUUUGCUGGCGACUCUGGACGGGAGAUGUUGCGUACGUGCGAGGUUCAGAAGGCCCUGGCGUGCAGCUCGGAUGGGCUGCGUGCGCGGUUCAGAUGGGCCAGAAGCGUCGUGCCGCCGGUCGCCCCUACCUACCCCAGCGUGAGCCCGGCGGCCUUCCUCCACCGCUGGGUCGUCGGGUCUGGUGCGGCCUACCCACCGUCGAGGAGCCCCCCGCCCAUUCCUCCGCGCGAGCCCCAUGAUAUCCGCAGCACCGAAGGGCGUCGGAUCCCUGCACCAACCGCCUGGAUCCACCCCACACCCCGCCGCCAUGUCACGCCGUCGAGACUUCCCAGGUACACCGCGACGCCUCACCCAGAAACCGAUGGACUGCAGGCCACCACCCAUGAAGCCGCCACGGGAGCACUAGUGAGCUGCUCCACAUUUAGUGAUAGACAGAGGUUGGGGAAUAUGCUCCGCCGGGCAUCCACCGACAAGAUCCCAUCGGUGAGUCUCCCGUUGACCCUCUUCUCUUGAUGUGGGUGCAGCACCAGGUGAGCGCCCUUGCAGUUUGAUGCAGCACCAGGUGAGCGUCCUGAGCUCGUUCUUGAAGCCCAUGGAAGAGGUGCAGAUUCUUGCUGACUGCUCGAUUGACCUCCAUCUUCUGUUACUAACCCUCUUACCAGCCAGGUGGAAGAAUAUUUCAGUUAUGUGUAUGGUGCUGAUGGCAUGGGAAUCAGCAAAUUUGCACCAGAGUCCGAAGAUGAUUUGGGAGGGAAGAUGGCGGGCAGGUCAAAAACGGCGCGCGUGUAGGUCAGAAACGCCUCCGUGUGGUUUGCUUGUGGAUGCCUCAUAACGUGCAGAUUGGAGUUUUUUCCAUGUUCUUCAGAUUUUUGCUUUCAUUGUGCCGGCCGGUUAGCUUGGUCCACGUUACAGCUCAGAUAUUUUUGUGCGUUCUAUAAGCAUCGGUGAAGUUCAGAGUUUUGGGGUGUUCAGUGUACUCCCAAAUCACCCUUGUAGUUAUUUUCUUGCUGUUCUUACUUUGUUCUUCCUGUGUGAUGCAGUUCUCUUCUGUCGGUGCUAUAGUGUGAUGCUGGGAAGGUGCAAAAGACAGUGCAGUUAGGUGUGCGGUCUUGGGCAUGGACGUGCAGCUCAACAACCACGGACAUGCAGCUCGGACGCGUGCGUGCAGCGGUUCAGUGCUCGUGUACUUGCAGGCUUUGUUGUUUUUGCGUGUGGGUGCAGUUCAUCAUCGCGGCGUGCGGUGUGCAGCUGCAGUUUGUGUAGGUCCUCUACACCCUCGCGCUCGUGCAGGUCCGUCUUGUCGUCAAUGACUACAUCACUUCCCCUCAUUUUUGAAGCCAAGGGACGCUCGGGCGCCAUGCACAGAGAGGUAGUUGCCCCUCUUCUCCAACUCCAAUGACUCCUCUGGGUCCUCUCCAUCAUGCCCGUCACGUAGCAGUGCACUCCAGAGAGCUGUAGGAGAUGGUGGCUACACCAGAGGCCAGACACUACAAUGGUCGUGCUGCGGUCCACAUGCGCCUUGGCCGCUGGACAUAAAAUGCAUAUGUGUUCAUCGCCUACGUGUAGUUCCCAAGCGACGCAUCUGUAGUUUACUCAAGAAAAAAAAUGCAAAGGAAAAGAAAACAAAGAAGUUCAUUUUGUUCUUUCUUUUGAGUUGGCGUUCAUUUUCCCAGGCGAACGCUAAGAUUCCAGUGCAGUGCACCUUGUGUGAUUCCAUUGCAGUGCACUUUCAUGAUUUUUUAUUCCAAAUGAUCACAUCUCGUUGUGUGCUCUUAUCAUUUUUUAAGAAAAUGUUGUGUGCUCUAUCAGCAGCCCGCAGCUCACGACA